ACCGUCCUUCACGGGAGUCCGGAGCACCGGGCUGAGAGGGGGCUGACGCAGCCCCGACCGUCCCAACCUGAUCCGGAUCAUGCCGGCGCAGGGACCAAGGAGUUGCGAUGAC
rfam:Intrasporangium calvum DSM 43043, complete genome.